rnacentral:rRNA from 1 species
GAUGAACGCUGGCGGCGUGCCUAAUACAUGCAAGUCGAGCGAAUGGAUUAAGAGCUUGCUCUUAUGAAGUUAGCGGCGGACGGGUGAGUAACACGUGGGUAACCUGCCCAUAAGACUGGGAUAACUCCGGGAAACCGGGGCUAAUACCGGAUAACAUUUUGAACCGCAUGGUUCGAAAUUGAAAGGCGGCUUCGGCUGUCACUUAUGGAUGGACCCGCGUCGCAUUAGCUAGUUGGUGAGGUAACGGCUCACCAAGGCAACGAUGCGUAGCCGACCGGAGGGGGUGACCGGCAACACUGGGACUGAGACACGGCCCAGACUCCUACGGGAGGCAGCAGUAGGGAAUCUUCCGCAAUGGACGAAAGUCUGACGGAGCAACGCCGCGUGAGUGAUGAAGGCUUUCGGGUCGUAAAACUCUGUUGUUAGGGAAGAACAAGUGCUAGUUGAAUAAGCUGGCACCUUGACGGUACCUAACCAGAAAGCCACGGCUAACUACGUGCCAGCCGCCGCUGUAA